GUCCCUGUAGCGCAAUGGAUAGCGCGUUGGACCAAAAAUCCAAAAGUCGUGGAUUCGAAUUCUACCUGCGAUG